rnacentral:lncRNA from 1 species
CUUCUAAUUAGUUCCCUUACCUUUCCCUUGUGAUUGGGUCGAAUUCCCACCUGGUGGGAAUUCAUUUAAUUAAAGGAUUAAGGUAAAAAUAAGGAAAAACAACUUUGAACGGCUAUAACUAUACUGUUAUAAUCCGGACUCGCAAACGGCUUUCGCCGAUGUGUUCAUACCAAUGAGCACUACUCAAAUACGCUAAAAGAAUAAGUCAUACGUUUCUCUAGACGAUGGUCAACGGAAGCCAAAGUCAUUGCCUCUAGGGCAUUUUCGUCAAUUCUCUCAAUUAAAAUAAAUAAAAACGUAAAUUUACGGACGGGUUGUCACAACGGAUGAGAUUGAGAUAAAGAAAUUUAAUCCAACGAACGAUUCAUAAGUGAUGAAUUUAACCUUGUCACAAUUUGAACAUUUAAGGUUGAAGGGUUUAUAAAAAAAAAUUUAAUAUAGCAUGUCCAAAAAUCAACUUAAGAAAAGUUAACACACAAAAAAUAAAAUAAAGUAAAAUAAAUCAUCGCUUAAUCAAAUUACUACAUAAAUAAAUAUAUAUAGCCCCAUAUAGAGCACAAAAGAUGUAGUCCCUCAUUGUGAGAGAUUCUUUUAUAAAGGUCCAAAGAUUCCUCAGAGCUCUAAAAUGGGCUAUAUCCACCACUUUUCCAGCCCCAGAGAUUCUUUUAUAACUGCUCCAAGCCUCCCCUUUCACCUUCUUUUUUACUGCAGCACUCCAAAAUUUUUACAGGCAGUACGAAAAUGCUCCUAAACUUAAACGAAAAUAAUUGAAAUCAAUAAAAAGAAACUAUAUAAAUUGAUUCAUACCAUAUUUGAAGGAUUAAAAACUUUAAAAUCACCAUUCAUCUUUUCAAAAGAGCUUAUUUUUCUCUCUAACAAUGUCCUAGAGUUCUAGUCGGAAUACAAUCGUAGGAAAAAUAUUGCAUGAAGAUAAGGGUUUGGUUAUUAAAUGAGAGUUUAUUGCUAAGUUUGGUUUAGUGGUAAUUUCAUCUUUUAUUUGAUGGUAAUUGUAUAAUAGGGCAAGAAAGACAAUUUAUAUUUGUAAUUUAAGUUGGAUGUAGAAUGAGGUUAUACGGGGUUUAAUAAAAUUAAUCUUGAUUAAUUAAUGAGGUACUUGUCGAUUUCUCUUCGAACUUGCUAGGAGUUGCUAAUUCCGCUGAACUUUAAUUUUAGCUCAUUACCCCCCUUGAAUUUUAAUAGUUAACCAAUUUCUCCUAUGAUGUUAGAUUUUUGGAAAUUUCCAUCCAAUUUUAUAUUUAUUUUAGUCACAUGACAAAUAUUUGAGGGCAAUAAAGUAACUUAAUCUCUAAUGUGGAUAUCAAAUUAUUUUUUUUCUUUCUCUUCUGGUAGUUCACUAUGUGUACUUACUGUUUGAACUAGCCAUGAGAGUCCAAUUAACAAUUGCAAAGUAUUGGCUCUACGUCCAAUUUACCAAAACAAAAUUACAUGUUCGCCCUUAUACAGUUGUUAUGUGUUGUCCACAUGACCAAGAUGGAUGAAAAAUUGGCUAAAAAAUUCAAAACUAACGCUAGAGGAAAAUUAGUUAUUUAUAAAAGUUUAUGGGGUGCUUGGUUAAAUUUAAAGUUUAGAUAGAAUUGACAGCUUUAUAAAAGUUAGAGAGAAAAUCGACAAAUAUAUCUUUAAUUAAAAGAAAGAAAACUAGAAGUUUUCCAAAAAAAAAAAGAAAAAAAAAUUAGAAUAAAAUGAAAAGGAAAAGGAAGAUCAUUUAGUUGUCAGUGAUUAUAUGGAAUUAAUUGACUGAUGUGUCAUUAACUUAAAUUAUGUUUUGCUGUAUUUGAUGUUCCUAAAAAGUUCUAAACCAAAGUCUUACAACUUUCUUUGGAAGAAGAAAAAGGUUUUACAACUCUCAUUUCAACAUGCAAGUUAGGAGACGGGAAAUUCUAAGAGGAUCACAUACAUGUGUAUGGCUAGGUUGAUAACUUGAUAGCUUUAUAAAGGGAAAAUGAUUUCAAAUAACCUUAUUAACAAACAAAAUUAGGUAACUAAAUGAUUCAAUUAUGUCUAUGCAUUCUUGCGUUUCGAUUUCUACUAAUUGUCAUUCCCAGCAUUUAACUAUUUAACUCACUAACGCUAUUGUUCUAUGAAAAAAAAUAAUAAUAAUAAAAAAGGGUAAAUAAAUAACCUUGACUACAUUAAUCGACUUUCUAAACCUUGGCAUUAUUUGUGAAAUAUGGUAAUAAGUUUGCCACUGGAUAUCUCCCGUCAAUUGUUACUACAUUCCGAAAUGAGUUGGAAUUUUUAUUUGUAUUUUUUUUAUCUUAAUCAUGUCCUGGAUAUCCUCGGUAAGUUCUCAUGCUUGUUAAUUAAAAACAUUCUAUAAGUUUUUAUUGACCCUAAAAAUUAUAAUUUCUACAUGGUCAGUAGACUGAGGAAUUAUUGAGCUAAUUACGUACUUGUUGUGAACGCGGGUAUGCUAACUCACGACUGAGGUUGAUCAGGUGAGUAAAGUAGUUGUGGUGGUGGUGUCGAACGCGCUGCUGACUUCUGCACUUAGCGACUACGGC